GUAGCCAUUCCUGAAAGACCAAAUGCCACUUUCAAGUUAAAUCUGUUAUUUUAGGUUAGUUUUUUAGUUUAAGUAGUAAAUAUUAAUAGUUUUAUCAUUUUUAUAGUGUAAAAACUCUUGAUUACACUGUAUUUAUUUAAUCAUUUAAAGCAAAUUCAAUGUCGGGAUGUUUCGAUGUAUUUUCCACUGAAUUAUUAAUUUAUAUUUUUAAUUAUCUGGAAAUAAAUGAGUUAAGUCGAUUGAGGCUCACUUGCCGAAGGUUUCGCGAUAUAAUUAAUGCUUGGGAUAAUGUAUUAAUUAAAACUACCACUAUUGUUACGAAUCAAAACAACGACAAGUUCUUAACACGAUGCUUUUCCAAGAUUCCAACCAAACUAGAAAAACUAAGAUUGCAAAAUAAUUGGAAGUAUGGCAUUUACAAUGAGAAAUCAUUGUUUUAUGUUAGAAAGAAGUACAUGCCCUGCUUGAAGUUGCAGAAAGAUUACUUGUGGUUCAGUAGAGGCUCAAAGAUAUUUAAUUAUAAAAGAGAUAAAAAUAAUAUCAUAGUAACUAAGCCCAAUUUUGUAUUGACUCCACAGUACCGCCAAAGUUGCGUUAAUGUGGGAUUUUCGUCUGCCGACGUAACCAAGUUUACUUUAAGAAAUAACAUAUUGGUUGGAGGACUAAGUGAUGGGGGAGUUUAUGUCCAAAACCUCGUAGAUAGAAAUGAAUACUAUAUCGACAAAGCGGAAAAUACAUUUACUUGCUCAGUUGAUAUAUCGCCAGAUAGUCUCGUAGUGGCGAGUGGAAUGAGAAAUGACUGCUUCAAAAUGUUCUCAUUGCAGCAAGAUCCUUUAGAAUUGACGUUAAUACAUACACACAACUUAGGACAACGAGCAUGGUGUGUUUCUUUUAGCGACGAUAGUCCUAUACUUGCUUGCGGGACAUCUGCAGGAGGGCCGACUCGAAAAUCAAUACUGUUAUUUGAUACCGAAAGAUAUACGGAAGUCCUAAAUUUGAAAUUAGUCCAGUUCAUAUCUGCCACUUUUUAUAUAAAAUGGGAUGGUCCACAUGGUAUUUGGUCGUGUGGUAAUGAUAGUCAUCUAAGAAGAUGGGACCUUAGAACGGGAAAAUGCGAACAAAAGUUUCACGACGCAUUUGGAGCUGGUCUCUACUGUUUAGAUUACGAUUACUGUAACAGUGUAAUGGUCGGUACUUACUUACAUGGUAGAGCUGCACUUUGGGAUAUUAGAACCAAACGCUGCGUACAGCUAUACUUUAUGAGAACUUGCAAAGGAUCUACACUAAAUUCGCCGAUAUAUAGUUUGUCCUUUGAUUCGGAGUACUUGUUUGCAGCUGUUGAUCAAAAUCUGAAUAUUAUGGAUUUUAGUGGCUAUGGGCGCCAGCCAAUGAGAGAUUACGUCAAGAUAAUAUACAGACAGACGAGUCCCAAAAUAAAAUGUCACAUGUAAAAUCAAAUUCUAAACAUAUUCCGCUUCACAUCGAACUUCACUUAAGAGAUUUCAGUUUAAUCAUAGAAUUUACCAAGAGGUUGUGAAGAGUAGCCAGAUUUGCAUUGCCUAAAAUGAGAAAUCGACCGCAUUGAAUAAUUAGAAAUGUAGUUUUACUUUCAAUAGUAAAAUAAAUUGAAAUUAAAAAGUUUAUUUGCAUCUAA
rnacentral:misc_RNA from 1 species